rnacentral:rRNA from 1 species
AGUGAACGCUGGCGGUAGGCCUAACACAUGCAAGUCGAACGGCAGCACAGUAAGAGCUUGCUCUUACGGGUGGCGAGUGGCGGACGGGUGAGGAAUACAUCGGAAUCUACUUUUUCGUGGGGGAUAACGUAGGGAAACUUACGCUAAUACCGCAUACGACCUACGGGUGAAAGCAGGGGAUCUUCGGACCUUGCGCGAUUGAAUGAGCCGAUGUCGGAUUAGCUAGUUGGCGGGGUAAAGGCCCACCAAGGCGACGAUCCGUAGCUGGUCUGAGAGGAUGAACAGCCACACUGGAACUGAGACACGGUCCAGACUCCUACGGGAGGCAGCAGUGGGGAAUAUUGGACAAUGGGCGGAAGCCUGAUCCAGCCAUACCGCGUGGGUGAAGGAGGCCUUCGGGCUGUAAAGCCCUUUUGUUGGGGAAGAAAAGCAGCAGGUUAAUACCCCGCUGUUCUGACGGUACCCAAAGAAUAAGCACCGGCUAACUUCGUG